GAAAUGCGCUAAGUAAUGUGAAUUGCAGAAUUCAGUGAAUCAUCGAAUCUUUGAAAGCACCUUGCGCUCCUUGGUAUUCCUUGGAGCAUGCCUGUUUGAGUAUCAUGAAAUCUUCAAAGUAAAUCUUUUGUUAACUCAAUUGGUUUCUACUUUGGUAUUGGAGGUCUUUGCAGCUUCACACCUGCUCCUCUUUGUUCAUUAGCUGGAUCUCAGUGUUAUGCUUGGUUCCACUCGGCGUGAUAAGUUAUCUAUCGCUGAGGACACUGUAAAAGGUGGCCAAGGUAAAUGCAGAUGAACCGCUUCUAAUAGUCCAUUGACUUGGACAAUACUUUUAUGAUCUGAUCUCAAAUCAGGUAGGACUACCCGCUGAACUUAAGC
rnacentral:misc_RNA from 1 species